AAACCCUGGAGCCACGAAAUUCCCAUCCUGGUUUGGAAUGCUGCUCCAUCCUCCCAAACCCUGGAGCCACGACAUUCCCAUCCUGGUUUGGAAUGAUGCUCCAUCCUCCCAAACCCUGGAGCCACGAAAUUCCCAUCCUGGUUUGGAAUGAUGCUCCAUCCUCCCAUCCCUAGAACCACGACAUUCCCUUGGGAUAAUGCUCCGUCCGUCCCGGUGUGGCUCCGUCAGGGACUGUCCCAGCAGCACCACCCCACAGCAGUGGGGCUGCUCCAAGGGCAUCCCACGGAACAUUCCAGGAGCUCCAAAUGCCCCCCAGGUUCCGUGCAGGGUGAUAAAGGUGCUUGGGAAUGUUUUGCUCCGAGGCCUGGGGCUGGAUAUGGCCUCGCUCCAUCCUCACAGACAGGAUCCGGCUUUUCCCAGCUCUGGGAUGGGACCGGGAUCUGGAAUGUGGGGAUCCCAACCAUGGAAUGCUGGAGCACAGGGACGCAGAGCUGCCCUUGCUCCAUCCUGGCCCCAAUCCUGAGGGAUCAAUCCCCCAGCUCCAGGGGGCCAUUCCCAAAAUUCCCCCUCACUCCCACCUGUGGUGCUGCUGGGAUGGGAUUUUCCCGGUGGAAAAUCAUCCCACAGACCCAAGGACUCAUUUUCUUUUUGGGGUUGGGGCUGUGUCCCUUUUCCACACCCGCUGGACCCCCGGGAGCUGCUUGGGAUCCUUGGGAUGAGCCCCUCGGUGCCAGGAGAUCCCGGCGCGGUGAUUCCAGAGGCCGAGGGACGGAGAGUGGGAUGAGCAACGGCUUUUCCCAUCCGCGGGAGGUUUGGUGCGAGGAGCAACAACAGCAGCUUUGGGUUGGAAAGAUCCCAGUUUGGCAGGAAAAGGCCGUUCCUGCCAAAAAUCCUGGCAGGAAAACCGCGGCUUGGAACUCCCAGCGCUCGCGGGGGAGUUCAGGGAAAGCAGCUUCUCUGGGAAUGUUUGAAGCAUCCUCUCCCAUCCCGGUGUUCCCUGAGGGGUGCCCAGCUCCAGGGGACACCCCAGG
rnacentral:lncRNA from 1 species